rnacentral:sRNA from 1 species
GCGACAAAGAAGGAAUGACCCUCCGUGUC